rnacentral:lncRNA from 1 species
CCCCCUACUCACCAGACACCUCCACGUAUCCGUCCUUGGUCUUCACCAUCAGCUCCUCCGGCUUGAAGCUGUGCACGUUGACACACACUUUCCAGGGCUCCCCAGGGAACGGUGGGGGGGUCCUGCCCUCAGCAGGUACCCCAAACCUGGCCGUGGCGGUGGGCCCCCGGGGCACCAUGCCCGACCUCAGGGUCCCCGGCCAGGCCGAGGAGAAUGGAGGCAGUCAAAUUGUCGUGGAAGGGGUCCAUGCCAAAGCCAUCAUCCAGCAGGCGGGAGGAGAGGGGCGAGUCUCGGAAGGGGUCCCGGCGCAGGCGGCCCGUGUAGGGGAAGGGCAUCUGACCAUCAGCCAUGGUGGCCGCUGAGCUGGAGGGGAAGUGGAGGCUCAGAGAACCACAGCCACCUGCCCAAGGUCACACAGCAAGCUGAUGUGGGUGGGCUGGUCUUCCAAACUUAUUCUUCAGCUUCAGAAAAUGCUGAACCAUCCACUGCCAGGGACGGAGGCACACACCAGGCUGGGGUCCUGGGCCCCAGAGACACUCCAGCCACCAAAGGCGACCCCCCGCUGAUCCAGCAGAAUCCCAGAGGGCCCUUAUCCGUACUGCCUCACCAGGGAUCAGCCAGUCUCUGUCCUCGCAGGCCACACAGGCUGGCAGCCAGAGCCGCUGAGGUCUAAAGAGGAGCCAGGAGCUUAAUAAACCCAGGGAGGCAGGCCUAGAAACUUCUCGCUUCUCCUGGGCUGGGAGCUUUCUAUUUAUUGCUGCUGGGGGCUGGAGGCGGGUUUUGCAAGUGGCUCCUGUCACAGGAGUAUUCCGAGGUGAUGAACCAGCCCCAGAGAAUCCGCUGAGGGAACAGCUGUGCUCCAGGGGGCUGGGAGGGGCCCUGGCAGCCAAGUUCAGCCAGCCUCUCUGGGCAGUCUCUCCUCCCCACGCUGGCUCAGCUCCGCCCUCCCACUCCCUUCCCCGGAGCCAUCCUCCCCAGCCAGG